rnacentral:rRNA from 1 species
UACGUAGGCAGCGAGCGUUGUUCGGAGUUACUGGGCGUAAAGGGUGUGUAGGCGGUUCGUUGUGUCGGUGGUGAAAGCCCCGGGCUUAACCUGGGAAUGGCCAUGGAAACUGGCGAACUGGAGUGUGGCAGAGGGGGGUGGAAUUCCGCGUGUAGCAGUGAAAUGCGUAGAGAUGCGGAGGAACACCGAUGGCGAAGGCAGCCCCCUGGGCUAGCACUGACGCUCAGGCACGAAAGCGUGGGGAGCAAACAGG